rnacentral:snoRNA from 1 species
UGGAAGGUUGUCAAUGAUGGAAACAUGUUGACCUGAAAAUGAUGAUUUUAAUUCAACAUUUCGUCACUACCACUGAGACAACAUAACA